rnacentral:rRNA from 1 species
UACGAAGGGUGCAAGCGUUACUCGGAAUUACUGGGCGUAAAGCGUGCGUAGGUGGUUUGUUAAGUCUGGUGUGAAAGCCCUGGGCUCAACCUGGGAAUUGCAUUGGAUACUGGCAGGCUAGAGUGCGGUAGAGGGUAGUGGAAUUCCCGGUGUAGCAGUGAAAUGCGUAGAGAUCGGGAGGAACAUCCGUGGCGAAGGCGACUACCUGGACCAGCACUGACACUGAGGCACGAAAGCGUGGGGAGCAAACAGG